UGGUCUGCAGAUGCCCUUUUGGCUGGAGU
rnacentral:piRNA from 1 species